GAUAGUGUGGCCGAGUGGCCUAUAGCGAUGGUUUUAGGCACCAAUCUCUUCGGAGUCAAGGGUUCGAAUCUCUUCGCUGUCA
rfam:Daphnia pulex DAPPTscaffold_2563_Cont14279, whole genome shotgun sequence.